rnacentral:rRNA from 1 species
CCUACGGGAGGCAGCAGUGGGGAAUAUUGGGCAAUGUGAGCAAGCCUGACCCAGCAACGCCGCGUGAAGGAAGAAGGCUUUUGGGUUGUAAACCUAUUUUCUCAGGGACGAAGCAAGUGAAGGUACCUGAGGAAUAAGACACGGCUAAAUACGUGACAGCAGACGCGGUAAUACGUAGGUGGCAAGCGUUAUCCGGAUUUACUGGGUGUAAAGGGUGUGGAGGGGGGAAAGCAAGUCCGAUGUGAAAACCAUGGGCGCAACCUGUGGCCUGCAUUUGAAACUGUUGUUCUUGAGGACUGGAGAGGCAGACGGAAUUCGUAGUGUAGCGGUGAAAUGCGUAGAUAUUA